UGGGGAAUAUUGGACAAUGGGCGAAAGCCUGAUCCAGCCAUGCCGCGUGUGUGAAGAAGGUCUUCGGAUUGUAAAGCACUUUAAGUUGGGAGGAAGGGUUGUAGAUUAAUACUCUGCAAUUUUGACGUUACCGACAGAAUAAGCACCGGCUAACUCUGUGCCAGCAGCCGCGGUAAUACAGAGGGUGCAAGCGUUAAUCGGAAUUACUGGGCGUAAAGCGCGCGUAGGUGGUUUGUUAAGUUGGAUGUGAAAUCCCCGGGCUCAACCUGGGAACUGCAUUCAAAACUGACUGACUAGAGUAUGGUAGAGGGUGGUGGAAUUUCCUGUGUAGCGGUGAAAUGCGUAGAUAUAGGAAGGAACACCAGUGGCGAAGGCGACUACCUGGACUAAUACUGACACUGAGGUGCGAAAGCGUGGGGAGCAAACAGGAUUAGAUACCCUGGUAGUCCACGCCGUAAACGAUGUCAACUAGCCGUUGGAAGCCUUGAGCUUUUAGUGGCGCAGCUAACGCAUUAAGUUGACCGCCUGGGGAGUACGGCCGCAAGGUUA
rnacentral:rRNA from 1 species